rnacentral:rRNA from 1 species
UAAGGAAUAUUGGUCAAUGGACGCAAGUCUGAACCAGCCAUGCCGCGUGAAGGAUGAAGGUCCUCUGGAUUGUAAACUUCUUUUAUCUGGGACGAAAACGGGAUUUUUAUCUCAAUUGUCGGUACCAGAGGAAUAAGCACCGGCUAACUCCGUGCCAGCAGCCGCGGUAAUACGGAGGGUGCGAGCGUUAUCCGGAUUUACUGGGUUUAAAGGGUGCGUAGGUGGGCUUAUAAGUCAGUGGUGAAAUCUCCGAGCUUAACUUGGAAACUGCCGUUGAUACUAUAGGUCUUGAAUUAUCUGGAGGUAAGCGGAAUAUGUCAUGUAGCGGUGAAAUGCUUAGAUAUGACAUAGAACACCAAUUGCGAAGGCAGCUUACUACAUAUAAAUUGACGCUGAGGCACGAAAGCGUGGGGAUCAAACA